rnacentral:lncRNA from 1 species
UAUUUACUUAAGAGACAUUUAAUAAUUAUUUUUAAUUUAGGAAUGGUUUUUACAACUCCUUAAGUGCUAAACAAAAAUUAUUUUUUAGGAGAUAAUGAACUUUAUAAAAUGAUCCAAUCUUGUUCUAUUUGUUAUAUCAAAAGAAGGGAAACUAUGGCUGCAAUUCUUAAGUUUAUAUAUGCUAUGUUUCUUUUUAUUUCCUUAUUUAUGUUUCCAAUGGCAAUUGAAAGUAAAGCAUUUUUUGAACCUGCAAAUUUCCUAUUAUACUUCAUAUUUGUACACUAUGUUUUGUAAAGAUUUCUUAAUAUUAUUUUAUUCUCUUUUCUUGUUGCAGGUAAAAAUUGUCAAACUGAUGAAGAAUGUUUAAAAAAUUACAGAUGCCCUCCUCAUUUGAGUCUGCAGUGUAUUCAUGGUUGGUGUGAAUGUGAGCCGCCAGUGGAGCAGCCAAUAGAGACGCCGGUGGAUCUUAUUGAAUAAGUUAUUAACCUAGCAAAAUAUCUAUGUAAUAAUAAAAUCAUAUGUUGCAAUCCAUUUAUUAUGGUGCUACCAAGUUAAUGUAUUUCUGGACUUUAAGACUGUUGAAAUAAUAAAAUAAAGUAAUAAAGAAUAUUGUGUAUUGAGCCUAACUUAUCCUUACAAAACCGCCUUGUAAUGUGAUGAUUGCCUUUAGUAUAUAAACACUUAGUCAGACCAUCUCUCAACCGAUUUGAGACUCUUAACACACCGCCUCACGCCCAGUACUAUUGGACUUGGUGCGUGGAUAUAAACGGUGGGUGGCCCGAUAGCGGAAACCUGAUAACAGGUGGCCCAACGAAUCGUGGAGAGGCUCUGAUACCAUCUUAAAAUUGAGUAUUGGGUCUAACUUAUUCUUACAAAACCGGCUUGUAAGAUGAUGAUUGUCUCUAGUAUAUAAACACUUAGUCAGACCAUCUCUCAACCGAUGUGAGACUCUUAACAAUUUCCUUGGUAUCCAAUGCAGGCUUAUCAUUAUUAUUUUUUGCAAACCAAUCAAAUUUUAGAAUAUCUUUAAUAUAUAGAGGUCUUACAUUUUUAAGAAAAGCUUUAUUUUGAUUUAGUACAACUCACUUUUCUAAUGGAUUAAACAUCAGUUUCGACACGAAAUAAUUAGGCAUGUGUAUUUCCCUUUUACGAAUUUGUGUUAGGUUGGUGCUGUCUUGAUUUUUCUGUCAUAGUAUUUCUGGUUGCUUUGCUUCUGUUGUUUUGGCAUUUAGUUAAAAGAUUUGUUUCAAAAUUUGCAAAUUUGUUUCAAAAGAGCAUUAGUUCUUAUUUUUCAAUUACAAGACCUGGAAGACAAUUAUGUUGAAUUUAUACUUAAAAUUAGUUUUGGAAUUGGGUAAUCAAAGAUACAAACUGAGAGCAAUAGCAAUUACAUUUUUUUUUAUAAGCAAAAGAUAGAUUAAAUAAAAGGAAGUACUAUGGGUGCUUCAACCAUUACAAGAGAUAGUUUAAAUGCAGCAUUAAUUUAUAUUGUUAGAAAUUGAAAGCUAAGAAUUUAAAAUUGCUUCCUUCCAUAUGUUUUAAAAAUUUUAAAUUGACCCCUAUAUUAUUUUUAAAAUUGUAAAUUGACUCCUAAAAAUUUUAAAAAUGGCAAAUUGACUCCUACUCUAUCCUAAAAAUUUGUUUUAAAAUUUUGAAAAUUUGCAAAUUAGUUCCUAUUUUUCAAAUUUAAAAAUUGACCCAAAACUUUUAAAAUUUAUAAAAGUGACCCAAAAUUGUUCACAAUAAAAUUUCCUAUUACUCUAUCCAUACACACACAUUUAAAAAAUAAGGUAAUUCAAAUACAAUCAUUUGAAUUGCUUAGAAUUUCAAAUCAUCUAAAAUUUCUAAUUACUCCAUUCAAAUUGUCGAUAUGUUUGGUUGGAGGAAUGUUUUAAGGUAAAAUAUUGUUUUGACGGAAUUUAAUUUUUUUUUGUCUAAAUUUCAUUGUUUGAUUAUAAUGGUUAAUUUGUCUAAAUUCUAUUGUUUACUCCAUUAGUUUGUCAAAGUUAAAUUUAAGGAAUUUCAAAUGACUCCAGAAAGCUAGAAAUUUGAAAUUCCUUCCUUCCGUAUAUUUCAACAUUUUCAAAAUGACCCCUAUUUUUUUCAAAAAUUGUAAAUUAGUCCCUAAAAAUUUGCAAAUUGGUCUUUAAAAGUUUAAAAAUUGCAAAUCGGUCCUUAUUUUUCAAAUUUAAAAUUUGACGUACAACUUUUCAAAUUUAUAAAAGUGGCCCAAAAUAUUCACUAUGAAAUUUCUUAUUACUCUUUCCAAAGACACACAUUUUAAAAUGAAUGUAAUUUAAAUACAAUCAUUUGAGUUACUUAUAAUUUCAAAUCUUCUAAACUUUCUAAUUACUUCAUCAAAACACACUAGUUUUUUUUUUUUUUUAAGGUCUAUUGACAUAAGUGACCGUNNNNNNNNNNNNNNNNNNNNNNNNNNNNNNNNNNNNNNNNNNNNNNNNNNNNNNNNNNNNNNNNNNNNNNNNNNNNNNNNNNNNNNNNNNNNNNNNNNNNNNNNNNNNNNNNNNNNNNNNNNNNNNNNNNNNNNNNNNNNNNNNNNNNNNNNNNNNNNNNNNNNNNNNNNNNNNNNNNNNNNNNNNNNNNNNNNNUGUAACCUUGAAUAGUUUUUUGCCUCCUACUAUUGCCCCUGUCUCUUUUGUGACAACAAGAAGGCUUGCCAAUGGACAUGUAGCAUAAGAUCCUAAAAAUAUUUAGGGCAAAAAUCUUAUUAAUUUUUUUUAUUUAAAAAAAACAUAGAAAAAAGAAAUUUUUUGUAUUAAUAAAGGUGUUGAAUUAUUUCACAUUUUACAACCCUCAUAUACAUAAGAUUUCAACUUCAUUCCUUAAGAUUAUAAGGUCAAAUUCAUAUAUUACAUAGUUGUAGCUUUGUGGACAAAAAAAAUUCAUAGGUAUAACCAUUAUUUGUUACUUGAAGGAAUUAUCAAAACACGGGUACUCCUAAAAUGGUGAAGUAUCCGUACCGGCUACGUACCAGUACCGGAUACUCCAUAUGGUACACGUAUGGUACGCACCGAUUCCGUAUCUAUUUUUAUUUAGUUGAUUUAUGAUGAUGAAUACGGAAAAAACAUUGUAAGGAAAAUGAUGAGCAUUGUAAGGAAAAUGAUACCUGUGAUGAGCAUUGUAAGGAAAAUGAUGGAAAUAAGAGACUUAGCGGUGGUUUCCAUGGUGUUUGAUUGCUGAUUCUUAUGCCUUAUGUUGUCUAAUUUAUCUGUAAAUCAAUUAUACCAAGUCCUAAGCAACAUAUAUAUAUAUAUAUAUAGUGUUUUAAUUAAUAUUUGUUUCAUAUAGUAUACAUAUUUUUUAUUAAAAAAUAAAAAGAAUUUAUAUUGAGGUUGAAUCAUUUAAUGCAUUCAAAGUCAAAAUUUUUUUUUUUGAUAAUUUUAAAUUUUUGACCAGUAUUUUUUUAAUAAUAUUGAACCCUACAUUAGAGAAUACCUUAAAAAACCAUGCAUAACAUGUGACAUUAAGUUUUUUCUUUUUUUUUUGGUCAAGAGAUUAUGUUUUUUCUAUAUAAGAAUAAAAGUAUAAUUUAUUUUAUAGUAUUUAGUCAAAUUUUUCAAUUUUAUUAUUUUCAUUACUUUUCACUUAAAAUUUAUAAUAUUAUUAUAAUAAUUUGACAUUCUAAUUAAUUUGUAUGACUUAAUUUAUUAAUAACUAAUUUUUUUUAAGCGAAGAGCACCUAGACAUCAAGAGACAAAGUCGGCUUCACCCCCAUUAUUUGCAUGUGGCUCCUUAUUAUAUAUAUAUGUACAAAAAUUGGGGGACAUAAAUUAAACCUAACCCGAUGAGUCCAUAAAAAAGGACGUAGGACAAUUAAGCAUACCAACUUCUAGUUAAUUCUAACAGAAAAAAUAGAAGUUUUAAAAAUUUGAGGCACCGUCUACAUGAAAACGGUCUACACGUACUGUUGGGGAGUCCGGGGCAGCUCAGGAGAGGGAGACGCCACAUCCCAACUGAUGACAGCCAAUUAUAUGAUGUUUUUAGUAGUAAUUGAGGAGAAUUUAAAUAGUAAUUGAAGCCCAAAAGCAAACAAAUACCAGGAAAAGUGAAUUUACAAGACCCAGAAGCAAGAAAAGUGGAAAAAGCAGCAAAAAAUGCCAAAAAUGUAAUAAAGCAGCGCAACCAUCGUACCCACGAUGAGUCUCAGCGUGGCGCGAUGAGAAGGCGGUUAAAUUGAAGAAAAUCUGCAGAAAAUCUUUUCCAUCAUGGCACGAUGGCUUGUCAUGAUAUCGUGGCACGAUGAUGACUUGAAGAAUACGCAGAGAAUCCUGAGAAGAUCUUCCAUUGCACCACGAUAGGAUCCAUCGUGGCCAUGAUGAGGCGAAAAUACACGCCAUCGUGGCCACGAUGGGUGCAAUGGAUGCACAAAAAAAGCCCAAAUAUAGCUGAAAAACUAUAAAUAGAGUCUCCUUCCUCCACUAUUAUUCAUUCAGAAAUAUUGAGACAUGUUCAAUAUUCACUCUAGAGUAGGAGAACUCUAAGGAGAAGGCAAGGAGGCCAAGGAACUCCGAGGCCAACAAGGUUCUUUUCUUUCUGCUUUUGUAAUUUAUUUUUCCUAGGUUAGAUGGAGUCCAGGAACUCCAUUACGAAUGCUUGAUUGUAUAAUUUAUAUAUUUUGGGUAUAAAUUCAAUUGUUUCUACUAUAAUCUCUUUUAUUGUCUGAUAUUAUGAUUACUUUAAUAUUGAUCAUAUUAGAAUAAAAUCUAAGGCCCUAGUGGAUAUCACAUAGGUGAUGAAUCUUCAUCAAUCACUAUUUUUAGAUUCUUUUUAAUUAAGUUUUUAAGAUCAUUUUAUUAGUUUAGUGCUUAAUUUAGAGUCAUUUUAAAUAAAUUGCAUUUUUUAGUUUAUUGAGUCAAUUAAGUAUUUUUCUUUAUUAAUAUUUCAUUUUGUGUAGUUUUUAUUUUGUGAAGUUAGUAACAUAUUGUGUAGUGUAGGUGAUGGCCUAAAAGGGAGUAUAUCGUUUAAUAUGAUGGACUUGUGUACAAUGAAAGGAAGACAACUUGGGCCUUAUGUUGAAGUCAUUACCCGAACCAAGGAAAUGAAAAGGAAGGUUUCUUUGCAAAUUGAGGGGCUGGUUACUGUAGCGCGAGAGAAAGGAACGGAGGAAUGAAACAGAAUAGUGGUGGAGGAUGAAUUGAAACAAGCAUCUCGCACACCAAGCCUGCACACUAUUACAUGAUUUUAUCUUUAUUUCAUUGUUUCUUUAGUAUGAUGUCUAGCUAAAUUCUCAUGAUUGGUCCUUAGGGAAUUCUGAUUAUUAUUUCUCUUGAACCAUGUGAUUAUCAUAUGUUAUGAUCAAUGAAUUACGAAGUUAGUUUCUUCAAUUUUUCCUUGUGCUUAAUGUUUUACAUGACUUGAUCAAUUAUGUGAUGAUUUCAAUUAUUUGUUUUACUAUGACGAUAGGAAUGAAUGGUCGAUCUAGGAAUGAUUGAUCAAUUAACUUUCACUUAAGACAUUUCGGAUUGUUAAUUGAGAUUAAAAGAUUAAAGUUUGUAAACCUCAAUUGAUCAUAGAUUACCUAAGACAUUAGGAAUCGAUGAUCAAGGGAGAGGAUUAUGUUACCAAGACAUUGAGCAUAAUCAUUUUUUAUUUAAUCUAAUCGUGAAAUUAAAUUGAGUAAUUUGUGAUCAUACAUGAAAUUACCAAGAGAAGUAGUAAUUAGAUGAACCAAAAGGAUCAAUCACCUUUCUUCUAUUGAUUUUAAUCUUAAGUUAUUUCCAAUCUUUAUGAUCGAAAUUUGAACCAAAUAAAUCCUCCCCCCCUUUUUUUUACAUUUAAAUUUAUGUGUUUAAGUAUGUAUUCAAUUUGUGUUUGAAUUACAACAAUCCCUGAGGAACGAUAAUUUUUACUACUUGCGAUAAUUUUGUGCACUUGCAAAAUAUUCAUCAAAUUUUUGCAAAAACUUGAUAGAAAUUUAGCAAGUGUACUAAAUCGCCGUCAAGUAAUAUAAUAAAUCGUUCUUUCCGCAGGGAUUGUUGUAAUUCAAAUGGAAAUUAAAGGCAUACUUAAGAAAAUUGACAUAAUAGUAACCAAGGGGGGAGUGUGCUUGGUUCAAAGUUUUGAUCAUAAACUUAAGAAAUGACUUAAAAUUCAAAUUGAUAAAAAAAAGUGAUUGAUCCUUUUGGUUCAUCUAAUUACUAUUUCUCUUGGUAAUUUCAUGUAUGAUAACAAAUUACUCAAUUUAGUUUCAUGGUUAGAUUAAACAUAAUUGAUUAUGCCCAAUGUCUUGGUAACAUAAUCAUCUCCCUUGAUCAUUAAUCCCUAAUUUCUUAGGAUGAUCGAUGAUCAAUUGAGGAAUAAAAACUUUAAUCUUUUAAAUCUCAAUUAACAUUUCAAAAUGUCUUAAGUGAAAGUCAAUUGAUCAAUUAUUCCUAGAUCGAUGAUUUAUUCCUAUUUUUAUAGAAAAACAAAUGAUAUUUUUAUAGAAAAACAAAUGAUUGAAAUCAUCAUACAAUUGGCCAAAUCAUAUAAAGCAUUAAGCAUAAAGAAUAUCAAUAGAAACUAAAUUCGUAAUUCAUUCAUCAUAUCAAAUGGCAAUCACAUUGUUCAAGAUCAAAAGUAAUUAGAAUCCCCUAAGGAUUAAUCAUAAAGAUUUAGCCAAACAUGUUCAAAUAAGAAAUUACAUUAACAUGAGUGAAAGAAAUCAUCAUUACAAGAAGGGAUUAGAUGUGUUUCCACCCUUGAAUCCUUGCUUGAAUGCCUCUUUGAUCCUCUGAAAUAGCCGUCAAAAAUCAGUUUUUGAUCCAGGAUUUCGUAACCCUAAAAUUAGAAACUGUUUUCAAUUUAUAGUGCAGUUUUCGUGCCAAGCCAGGCUUGGAUCUGCCCAAGUUGGGUGCAACAGGCAGAGGCUCAAAUAGAAAAAUAAAAUUUUUUCUGAGUCAGGCUUAGUUGACAGCAAUAACACCAAAUUUGACUCUUUUCUUCCAAUCCGAGAAACAUUAAAACUCAAUGUAAUUCCUUGUAUUAUUGUACUAAAACAUGUUAAAAACUACUUGUUUGCUUGCAUUUGCUUAAAAGAACAUAGAAAUGAUAUGAAGUCAUCAAUAGGAAACAAAGCUAGUAAUCCCGAACGAAGGACGGUAUGCUAGGGCCAACAUGAGACCAUUAAAUUCAGUAUCUGAGGUCUUAUUAUAGGAUUGGAACACACAAUAAGUUCUACCUUACAGAGUUGCUUGUGGGUAAGUGACUCGUUUUAGGCACACGUGACAGCUUAUGACACACGAAGUCACCGAGGUAAUGAUACCAACCUUAUAUACAAAAAAAUAUAACUUCGGGGCGACGAUGCUUAAAUAGAGUAAGGGUAACCUUUAACUAGGCUCUGUACAACUUGUAAUAGAAAUAAGAACAUAUAUUGCUUCAAACCUAUUUUCAACAGUCUAAAUCCUAAUUGAGGGAAAUAAUUGAGCAACCUAGCAGGAGUAAGGGCGGGAUCCGACCACACUUAACCACCCCGUGUCGUCACACACACGCCUUUUACUUUUCAGUCAUUUAGUUUUUAGCAUUUAUUUCCUGUUAUUUACUAAUUACUCGCAAAGAUACCCUUUUCAAAACAAACAAAGCGAAGGCAACUAUAAUAUUCCUAAGCGAAACUAAUAACCUUGGCACAAUCCCUAUGGAGAACGAUAAACUUACUACUUUAUUACUUGGUAGCGAUUUUGUGCACUUGCAGAACCACCGUCAAGUUUUUAGCGCCGUUGCCGGGGAUUAUGUUUACAAAGUAACUAACUUAGUUUAGGAAUUGUAAAUAUUUCGAAAAAGAAAAAUACCAAAAAAAUUUAAAAAAAUCUGUUCAUGCAGAAAUUAAACUAACAGAAGAUUCUGGCUAGGCAAGAUAUGGUACUUAAGCGAUCCUAGUGAUCCACCUCUCUUACUUGGGAAUCCCUGUGGUUGAAUCUUUGCAUACAAGAACAAUAAAAAAUACGUAAAACUGUCCUGCUAAAGGUAUCUUCUUUAGUGUAUGCAGGAAACAAAUACUGAAGUCGUAGAAUACGAUCCUGAGCUAGAAAAAA